rnacentral:rRNA from 2 species
GCAGUCGAACGCACUCUCGUUUAGAUUGAAGGAGCUUGCUCCUGAUUGAUAAACAUUUGAGUGAGUGGCGGACGGGUGAGUAACACGUGGGUAACCUGCCCUAAAGUGGGGGAUAACAUUUGGAAACAGAUGCUAAUACCGCAUAAAACCUAACACCGCAUGGUGUAGGGUUGAAAGAUGGUUUCGGCUAUCACUUUAGGAUGGACCCGCGGUGCAUUAGUUAGUUGGUGAGGUAAAGGCUCACCAAGACCGUGAUGCAUAGCCGACCUGAGAGGGUAAUCGGCCACACUGGGACUGAGACACGGCCCAGACUCCUACGGGAGGCAGCAGUAGGGAAUCUUCCACAAUGGACGAAAGUCUGAUGGAGCAACGCCGCGUGAGUGAAGAAGGUUUUCGGAUCGUAAAACUCUGUUGUUGGAGAAGAAUGUAUCUGAUAGUAACUGAUCAGGUAGUGACGGUAUCCAACCAGAAAGCCACGGCUAACUACGUGCCAGCAGCCGCGGUAAUACGUAGGUGGCAAGCGUUGUCCGGAUUUAUUGGGCGUAAAGCGAGCGCAGGCGGUUUCUUAAGUCUGAUGUGAAAGCCUUCGGCUCAACCGAAGAAGUGCAUCGGAAACUGGGAAACUUGAGUGCAGAAGAGGACAGUGGAACUCCAUGUGUAG